rnacentral:rRNA from 1 species
AACGAACGCUGGCGGCAUGCCUAACACAUGCAAGUCGAACGAGACCUUCGGGUCUAGUGGCGCACGGGUGCGUAACGCGUGGGAACCUGCCCUUAGGUUCGGAAUAACUCCCCGAAAGGGGUGCUAAUACCGGAUAAUGUCUUCGGACCAAAGAUUUAUCGCCUUUGGAUGGGCCCGCGUUGGAUUAGCUAGUUGGUAGGGUAAAAGCCUACCAAGGCGACGAUCCAUAGCUGGUCUGAGAGGAUGAUCAGCCACACUGGGACUGAGACACGGCCCAGACUCCUACGGGAGGCAGCAGUGGGGAAUAUUGGACAAUGGGCGAAAGCCUGAUCCAGCAAUGUCGCGUGAGUGAUGAAGGCCUUAGGGUUGUAAAGCUCUUUUACCCGGGAUGAUAAUGACAGUACCGGGAGAAUAAGCUCCGGCUAACUCCGU